GCCUCUGUAGCUCAGUUGGUUAGAGCGGGGUGCUUAUGUGGCUUUCUUUCAUCACCCAGGCCCGGGGUUCGAGUCCUCGCAGAAGCA